CCUACGGGUGGCAGCAGUGAGGAAUAUUGGUCAAUGGGCGGAAGCCUGAACCAGCCAAGUAGCGUGAAGGAUGACGGCCCUAUGGGUUGUAAACUUCUUUUAUACGGGAAUAACGUGCCUUACGUGUAGGGCUUUGUAUGUACCGUAUGAAUAAGGAUCGGCUAAUUCCGUGCCAGCAGCCGCGGUAAUACGGAAGAUCCGGGCGUUAUCCGGAUUUAUUGGGUUUAAAGGGAGCGUAGGCUGAUUGUUAAGUGUGCUGUGAAAUGUUCGGGCUCAACCCGGGCCUUGCAGCUGGAACUGGCGGGCUUGAGUACGCGGAAGGCAGGCGGAAUUCGUGGUGUAGCGGUGAAAUGCUUAGAUAUCACGAAGAACCCCGAUUGCGAAGGCAGCUUACUGGAGCGGAACUGACGCUGAUGCUCGAAAGUGCGGGUAUCGAACAGGAUUAGAUACCCGGGUAGUC
rnacentral:rRNA from 1 species